rnacentral:rRNA from 1 species
AUUGAACGCUGGCGGCAGGCCUAACACAUGCAAGUCGAACGGUAACAGGAAGCAGCUUGCUGCUUCGCUGACGAGUGGCGGACGGGUGAGUAAUGUCUGGGAAGCUGCCUGAUGGAGGGGGAUAACUACUGGAAACGGUAGCUAAUACCGCAUAAUGUCGCAAGACCAAAGAGGGGGACCUUCGGGCCUCUUGCCAUCGGAUGUGCCCAGAUGGGAUUAGCUUGUUGGUGGGGUAACGGCUCACCAAGGCGACGAUCCCUAGCUGGUCUGAGAGGAUGACCAGCCACACUGGAACUGAGACACGGUCCAGACUCCUACGGGAGGCAGCAGUGGGGAAUAUUGCACAAUGGGCGCAAGCCUGAUGCAGCCAUGCCGCGUGUAUGAAGAAGGCCUUCGGGUUGUAAAGUACUUUCAGCGGGGAGGAAGGGAGUAAAGUUAAUACCUGUGCUCAUUGACGUUACCCGCAGAAGAAGCACCGGCUAACUCCGUG